AGAGUUUGCUGAGUUCCCCCUGCAAGAAGGGCAGUGAUAGCUUUUGAGUGCUGGUAGAUCCUUUGAAUAGACAGCCUUGAGUGUGUCCUUGUUGCACCAGUAGGCCUUGUCAAAGUCCCUAUCUUCCAGGAGAUAUACAUAUUGAAGAAAAAAAUUGCCUCCAUAAUCCUUUGUUGUCUUGAGGCUCUCCCCUCAGGAACUGCAGGAACUCCUGGUGCCGCCUGGGCCGAUGGAUUGGACGCCCCAGCCCCUCCGUUCCUGCCCAGCCACUGGGUCCGUGUCCAGUGGUGGCACUGCCAGCCCUGCAGUGGGAUGUAGCCUGGAAAGUGCACAGAGCUGAGCCAAGGGAUUGAAAGGGACCAAGCAAGGGAGGUGAAGAAAGAA